rnacentral:rRNA from 1 species
CCUGAGAAACCCAAAAGAUCGAAUGGAGAGAUUCAUCGUCAGCUCAUUUUGUAUAUAUAUAAUUUAUGAUNUGAGUUACUACUUGUAGUAUUGCUUAUACAUUCUUAUAUAUUUAGUUUCAAGAUGUUGUAGGCGUGCACUUCUUUCCUAGUAGAACGUCGCGACCCGUUGAUUAUCGGUUUACGGCUCAAGUGGUAGUCUUUAAUAUUUUAUUAUAUUAAAGUCCCUUGAUGUUUUCUAACCGGAUAUUCGGCGGUACACGUAAGGUAUUAAGCCGCAAUUAUAUGCGUCUAUUCCCGUCGCAAGCGAGGCUAAUUACUAAUAGUGCGGAGUUAGUGCUGUCGUUAGUAAUUGCCAGCUGUUGGUUGUUACGGUGUUCUAGGACUGGCUUAUAAUAAUUACCGGUCGGCGAUGCUAUUGCUUUGGGUACUUUCAGGACCCGUCUUGAAACACGGACCAAGGAGUCUAACAUGUGCGC